AAAAUACUGCCUAGCACAAGAAAGGUGUUCAAUACAUAGUGGCACUAAUGAGCACAGUAAUGUGUACAGCUUUGGACAAGGUGGUAACAGGAAAUCCUUGGACUUGAAAUUGGAUAGCUGUUACCUUCCUGCUUCAGGUGAAAAAUCGGACUCCUAUCUAGAAAACAAGUAAAGGUUAUGAAUCUGCCUUUCAAGUACUGCACAAGUUUAAGAGCCUGCUAGGUACCAAGCACUGUCCUAGGUACAAGAGCUACUGGAUUAACAAGCAGACAUCAUCUGUUCUGUUGUGGGGGAUGUUUGGUAAUUCAUAUUUAUUCAGUUUACAGCUAGCUUGAACCUCCCAGUGAUUCUCUGAGGAGCUUCAGCAUGUGGCAGAAAGAUUGUGGGACCAGACCAUGGCCCAUAAGGUUUUUGCUUUGAGUGCUCCUUCCUAAAAACAAGGGGUUGAUGGGGAGCAGGAAGCUGAGCUGACCUAUUAGACCUUUUGAGAUAACUGUAAUUAUGUAUACAUAGGGCCUCAACUGUUCACAUCCUUGAAGAUGUGAAUGUUAUAUUCAUCCACUUAAAACACUUCAUUAGGGGAUCCCUGGGUGGCUCAGUGUUUUAGUGCCUGCCUUCAGCCCAAGGCAUGAUCCUGGAGACCUGGGAUCGAGUCCCAUGUUGGGCUCCCUGCAUGGAGCCUGCUUCUCCCUCUGCCUCUCUCUCUCUCGUGAAUAAAUAAAAGUAAAAAAAAAAAAAAAAAAAUCCACUUCAUUAAACUUAUUUGAAGUAGAAUAUAGAAAAGCAGAUACUGUAAACAUGUAGUUCCAUAAAUUUUUGCCAACUUCUCAGUUGGUGUAAGGUAUUUAAGGGUGUACCCAUUUUUAAUCCUCAGAGCACCCAUCACAGCCAUAAGACAUUUCAGUGUUUGCUGAAUGAACAACAGAUGAGGCUGUGCUGGUUAUGAAAUCACACAGGUAAGAUUAAAGCAGUGCUGGCUUCGUUUGAGUCCAGUUCUUAUUCCAGGCUCUUGCCUUGUCACAGGGCUGUUAAAAGCUCAUCUCCAAUGCCUUGAUAGUAUGGAAUCCCAUUAAUUGCUCCUGUUAUUAGGGAAGGAGACUGAACGUCUAAAUGAAAGGGGGAGAAACUCUUCAAAAAUCACAUGACUCUGCACUGCAACCUCUGGUAACAGAGCCUAACUGGAAAAUAAGCCACUUUAUCACAUCUUUCACUAAAGGAAGUAGGAACACCUCAGACCUUGUACUCUUUAAUAUUACCUUUUUUUUUUUUUUUUUUUUUAAGAUUUAUUCAAGAGAGAGAGAACACACAAGUUGGGGGAGGGCCAAAAGGAGGGAGAGAGAAUCUCAAGUAGACUCUCCUCUGAGCACAGAGCACAGAUUCGGGGCUCAGUCCCAUAAUCCUGAGAUCAUGACCUGAACUGAAAUCUCGAGUCAGACUCUCAACCAACGGAGCCACCCAGGCACCCCAUUGCCUUUAUUUUUUUUCAACUAACAUUUAUUCAGUACUAUGUGCUAGGACUAAAAAUAUCAACCUAGAUGUACUCCUUGCUCAGCUCUAAAACUUGCACUGUCCCACUGGAACAGUAGAGCCUAGACAAUGAUAAGGAAGAGAGAUGGCUAGAUUCUUUUUACAUUUGUUUAAGUUCAAUUUGCCAACAUAUAACACCCAGUGCUCAUCAGAUAGCCAGAUUCUUGAAGAAUGUAAACUCUUUAUGUUCUAUUUAUAAUCUCUCCACCAAUGAGGUUUUAGAUUCUAAAUCCAAAAAUACUUCUUGUUCAUGGUGCCAAAAUCUGUAAAAAAAAAAAAAAAAAAA
rnacentral:lncRNA from 1 species